ensembl:lncRNA WASH2P WASP family homolog 2, pseudogene
AGAUAGGCUGAGAGACGCAGGAAAGCGGGUCAAUGUGUAGGGCUGGAGGGCAGGGGCGGGCCCUGGGCCUGGGCUGGGGGUCCUGCCCCGGGGCGCACCCAGGGCGAGGGCUGCCCGGAGGAGCCGAGGCUGGCGGACAGCUUGGCCCUGAGCUUGAGGGGAAGGCAGCGAUGGGACAAAGGACGGAGGUCUAGGAAGAGGGUCUGCAGAGCAGAAAGCACGGGUAGGGGCGGCCUGACGCUCGGAAGACAACGGAUGGGAGCCGUGUGCACGUCGGGAGCUCGGAGUGAGCGCACCAUGACUCCUGUGAGGAUGCAGCACUCCCUGGCAGGUCAGACCUAUGCCGUGCCCCUCAUCCAGCCAGACCUGCGGUGAGAGGAGGCCGUCCAGCAGAUGGCAGAUGCCCUGCAGUACCUGCAGAAGGUCUCUGGAGACAUCUUCAGCAGGUAGAGCAGAGCCGGAGCCAGGUGCAGGCCAUUGGAGAGAAGGUCUCCUUGGCCCAGGCCAAGAUUGAGAAGAUCAAGGGCAGCAAGAAGGCCAUCAAGGUGUUCUCCAGUGCCAAGUACCCUGCUCCAGAGCGCCUGCAGGAAUAUGGCUCCAUCUUCACGGGCGCCCAGGACCCUGGCCUGCAGAGACGCCCCCGCCACAGGAUCCAGAGCAAGCACCGCCCCCUGGACGAGCGGGCCCUGCAGGAGAAGCUGAAGGACUUUCCUGUGUGCGUGAGCACCAAGCCGGAGCCCGAGGACGAUGCAGAAGAGGGACUUGGGGGUCUUCCCAGCAACAUCAGCUCUGUCAGCUCCUUGCUGCUCUUCAACACCACCUAGAACCUGUAUGGCCAGAAGGCAGGGCCGAGGGGUGUGGGCGGGAGGCCCGGCCUGGCUUAGUGGGGACCCAGGGCAUCAGACACAGGUACAAGAAGUAUGUCUUCCUGGACCCCCUGGCUGGUGCUGUAACAAAGACCCAUGUGAUGCUGGGGGCAGAGACAGAGGAGAAGCUGUUUGAUGCCCCCUUGUCCAUCAGCAAGAGAGAGCAGCUGGAACAGCAGGUCCCUGAGAACUACUUCUAUGUGCCAGACCUGGGCCAGGUGCCUGAGAUUGAUGUUCCAUCCUACCUGCCUGACCUGCCCGGCAUUGCCAACGACCUCAUGUACAUUGCCGACCUGGGCCCCGGCAUUGCCCCCUCUGCCCCUGGCACCAUUCCAGAACUGCCCACCUUCCACACUGAGGUAGCCGAGCCUCUCAAGACCUACAAGAUGGGGUACUAACACCACCCCCACCGCCCCCACCACCACCCCCAGCUCCUGAGGUGCUGGCCAGUGCACCCCCACUCCCACCCUCAACCGCGGCCCCUGUAGGCCAAGGCGCCAGGCAGGACGACAGCAGCAGCAGCGCGUCUCCUUCAGUCCAGGGAGCUCCCAGGGAAGUGGUCGACCCCUCCGGUGGCCGGGCCACUCUGCUAGAGUCCAUCCGCCAAGCUGGGGGCAUCGGCAAGGCCAAGCUGCGCAGCAUGAAGGAGCGAAAGCUGGAGAAGAAGAAGCAGAAGGAGCAGGAGCAAGUGAGAGCCACGAGCCAAGGUGGGCACUUGAUGUCGGAUCUCUUCAACAAGCUGGUCAUGAGGCGCAAGGGCAUCUCUGGGAAAGGACCUGGGGCUGGUGAGGGGCCCGGAGGAGCCUUUGCCCGUGUGUCAGACUCCAUCCCUCCUCUGCCGCCACCGCAGCAGCCACAGGCAGAGGAGGACGAGGAUGACUGGGAAUCCUAGGGGGCUCCAUGACACCUUCCCCCCCAGACCCAGACUUGGGCCGUUGCUCUGACAUGGACACAGCCAGGACAAGCUGCUCAGACCUGCUUCCCUGGGAGGGGGUGACGGAACCAGCACUGUGUGGAGACCAGCUUCAAGGAGCGGAAGGCUGGCUUGAGGCCACACAGCUGGGGCGGGGACUUCUGUCUGCCUGUACUUCAUGGGGGGACGGCUCCACCCAGCCUGCGCCACUGUGUUCUUCUCUUAAGAGGCUUCCAGAGAAAACGGCACACCAAUCAAUAAAGAACUGAGCA